ACUCCUACGGGAGGCAGCAGUGGGGAAUAUUGCACAAUGGGCGCAAGCCUGAUGCAGCGACGCCGCGUGAGGGAUGACGGCCUUCGGGUUGUAAACCUCUUUCAGUAGGGAAGAAGCGAAAGUGACGGUACCUGCAGAAGAAGCACCGGCUAACUACGUGCCAGCAGCCGCGGUAAUACGUAGGGUGCGAGCGUUAUCCGGAAUUAUUGGGCGUAAAGAGCUCGUAGGCGGUUUGUCGCGUCUGUCGUGAAAGUCCGGGGCUUAACCCCGGAUCUGCGGUGGGUACGGGCAGACUAGAGUGCAGUAGGGGAGACUGGAAUUCCUGGUGUAGCGGUGGAAUGCGCAGAUAUCAGGAGGAACACCGAUGGCGAAGGCAGGUCUCUGGGCUGUAACUGACGCUGAGGAGCGAAAGCAUGGGGAGCGAACAGGAUUAGAUACCCUGGUAGUCCAUGCCGUAAACGUUGGGCACUAGGUGUGGGGACCAUUCCACGGUUUCCGCGCCGCAGCUAACGCAUUAAGUGCCCCGCCUGGGGAGUACGGCCGCAAGGCUAAAACUCAAAGGAAUUGACGG
rnacentral:rRNA from 1 species